GACGAACGCUGGCGGCGUGCUUAACACAUGCAAGUCGAACGAUGAAGCGGGUGCUUGCACUCGUGGAUUAGUGGCGAACGGGCGAGUAACACGUGAGUAACCUGUCCUUUUCUUUGGGAUAACGGCUGGAAACGGCUGCUAAUACUGGAUAUUCAGGCUGCAUCGCAUGGUGUGGUUUGGAAAGGUUUUUUCUGGGAUUGGGUGGGCUCGCGGCCUAUCAGCUUGUUGGUGGGGUGAUGGCUUACCAAGGCUUUGACGGGUAGCCGGCCUGAGAGGGUGGGCGGUCGCACUGGGACUGAGAUACGGCCCAGACUACUACGCGAGGCAGAAGUGGGGAAUAUUGCACAAUGGACGAAAGUUUGAUGCCGCGACGCCGCGUGGAGGGUGUAGGCCUUCGGGUUGUGAACUCCUUUUUCUCGCGAAAAAGGCACAGUUUUGGCUGUGUUGAUGGUAGUGGGGGAAGAAGCGCCGGCUAACUACGUG
rnacentral:rRNA from 1 species